UACGUAGGGUCCGAGCGUUGUCCGGAAUUAUUGGGCGUAAAGAGCUCGUAGGCGGUUUGUCGCGUCUGCUGUGAAAUCCCGAGGCUCAACCUCGGGUCUGCAGUGGGUACGGGCAGGCUCGAGUUCGGUAGGGGAGACUGGAAUUCCUGGUGUAGCGGUGAAAUGCGCAGAUAUCAGGAGGAACACCGAUGGCGAAGGCAGGUCUCUGGGCCGAUACUGACGCUGAGGAGCGAAAGCGUGGGGAGCGAACAGG
rnacentral:rRNA from 1 species